rnacentral:rRNA from 1 species
CAUAGGUUAAUGAGGCGAACCGGGGGAACUGAAACAUCUAAGUACCCCGAGGAAAAGAAAUCAACCGAGAUUCCCCCAGUAGCGGCGAGCGAACGGGGAGGAGCCCAGAGCCUGAAUCAGUGUGUGUGUUAGUGGAAGCGUCUGGAAAGGCGCGCGAUACAGGGUGACAGCCCCGUACACAAAAAUGCACAUGCUGUGAGCUCGAUGAGUAGGGCGGGACACGUGGUAUCCUGUCUGAAUAUGGGGGGACCAUCCUCCAAGGCUAAAUACUCCUGACUGACCGAUAGUGAACCAGUACCGUGAGGGAAAGGCGAAAAGAACCCCGGCGAGGGGAGUGAAAAAGAACCUGAAACCGUGUACGUACAAGCAGUGGGAGCACGCUUAGGCGUGUGACUGCGUACCUUUUGUAUAAUGGGUCAGCGACUUAUAUUCUGUAGCAAGGUUAACCGAAUAGGGGAGCCGAAGGGAAACCGAGUCUUAACUGGGCGUUAAGUUGCAGGGUAUAGACCCGAAACCCGGUGAUCUAGCCAUGGGCAGGUUGAAGGUUGGGUAACACUAACUGGAGGACCGAACCGACUAAUGUUGAAAAAUUAGCGGAUGACUUGUGGCUGGGGGUGAAAGGCCAAUCAAACCGGGAGAUAGCUGGUUCUCCCCGAAAGCUAUUUAGGUAGCGCCUCGUGAAUUCAUCUCCGGGGGUAGAGCACUGUUUCGGCAAGGGGGUCAUCCCGACUUACCAACCCGAUGCAAACUGCGAAUACCGGAGAAUGUUAUCACGGGAGACACACGGCGGGUGCUAACGUCCGUCGUGAAGAGGGAAACAACCCAGACCGCCAGCUAAGGUCCCAAAGUCAUGGUUAAGUGGGAAACGAUGUGGGAAGGCCCAGACAGCCAGGAUGUUGGCUUAGAAGCAGCCAUCAUUUAAAGAAAGCGUAAUAGCUCACUGGUCGAGUCGGCCUGCGCGGAAGAUGUAACGGGGCUAAACCAUGCACCGAAGCUGCGGCAGCGACACUAUGUGUUGUUGGGUAGGGGAGCGUUCUGUAAGCCUGUGAAGGUGUGCUGUGAGGCAUGCUGGAGGUAUCAGAAGUGCGAAUGCUGACAUAAGUAACGAUAAAGCGGGUGAAAAGCCCGCUCGCCGGAAGACCAAGGGUUCCUGUCCAACGUUAAUCGGGGCAGGGUGAGUCGACCCCUAAGGCGAGGCCGAAAGGCGUAGUCGAUGGGAAACAGGUUAAUAUUCCUGUACUUGGUGUUACUGCGAAGGGGGGACGGAGAAGGCUAUGUUGGCCGGGCGACGGUUGUCCCGGUUUAAG